CUGAAGAGUCUGCAAUAGAACCUUGUCAGCUAGUUGAGGCGGGGAGGAUACGACCCAGACCUGUACUUGUCAUCACAUCAUUAGAUGAUUCAGAUCAUGCCCAGAUAGUAAAGGAGUUGUGUAGCUAUCUACGUGAAUGGUGUGGUGUAGGGGAGUCCUAUUACCCACUGGAUGAUGUUUCCGGAAUACAUUGUGGACAACGUGAUCCUUGGAAAUGGGCACAGAAUAGUUACGAGAAAGUGAAGGAAAAUGGAACUGUAGUAUUUAUUGCCGGACCAACUCCUAAUCUUUCCCCCUCUACAUCUCUAUACCCUGGAAUACAGGUAGACGGGGGUAGAGGAGG